GGUGGCUCAGUGGUACAGCACUUGCCUAGCAUGCAUGAGGCCCUGGGUUCGAUUCCCCAGCACCA
rnacentral:tRNA from 1 species